rnacentral:rRNA from 1 species
GGGGAAUUGUUCGCAAUGGGCGCAAGCCUGACGACGCAACGCCGCGUGGAGGAUGAAGAUCUUCGGGUCGUAAACUCCUUUCGAUCGAGACGAACGGCCUCCGGGUGAACAAUCCGGAGGAGUGACGGUACCGAGAGAAGAAGCCCCGGCUAACUCCGUGCCAGCAGCCGCGGUAAUACGGAGGGUGCAAGCGUUAUCCGGAAUCACUGGGUUUAAAGGGUGCGUAGGUGGCAUCGUAAGUCAGAAGUGAAAGUUUGCGGCUUAACCGUAAAAUUGCUUUUGAUACUGUGAUGCUUGAAUCAGGUUGAGGUUGGCGGAAUGUGGCAUGUAGCGGUGAAAUGCUUAGAUAUGCCAUAGAACACCGAUUGCGAAGGCAGCUGACUGGACCUGUAUUGACGCUGAGGCACGAAAGCGUGGGGAGCGA